rnacentral:rRNA from 1 species
CGGGGUGAGUAAUGCUUGGGAAUCUGGCUUAUGGAGGGGGGUAACUACGGGAAACUGUAGCUAAUACCGCGUAGUAUCGAGAGAUUAAAGUGUGGGACCUUCGGGCCACAUGCCAUAGGAUGAGCCCAAGUGGGAUUAGGUAGUUGGUGAGGUAAAGGCUCACCAAGCCGACGAUCUCUAGCUGGUCUGAGAGGAUGACCAGCCACACUGGGACUGAGACACGGCCCAG